rnacentral:lncRNA from 1 species
GAAGGGCGCACGACAUGCGCGUGAAUGGUCCGCCGAAAUCCGGCCCCUCGCCUUGCGGGGGCGCGGCUACAAAAUCUCAACUGAUUGCGAGAUUUUCGUGGGUGGAUAAGCACGGGGGUCGCGGACUCGGCCCUAUAAAAGGAGCCCGGCAGCCAGCCUCCAAUUCAUCCCAGAUCCCAAUUCGCUUUCGCCUCUCUUCAUAGCUGAGCCGCCUUUUAGUUCCCUUCGUCCCGACCGCAGAGGUGCAUCUGCGAUCAGGAGAGCAGGUCUCCGGAACCCUUCGUCUUCUAGAUCCUGCACCGGGAGAGGGCGAAUAAGGUUUUUGGGAAGCGUCUUCACGCGACUGCUCGUGAUCUGCUGACCUCGUCGACCCAGCUGAUCCUGGCGCGCGCCAACAAUCAGUAAGUCUAAUCAGUACGCAUCAUCUGAUUUGGCUUUUAUUUCAGUUCUUCUGAUUUGGUCAUGAUUUAUAUUCGGAAUUUAAUUUGGAAUUUGUCUAAUUUUUCAACAAUCCAAAAACCUUAUUGUAGACAAUUUCCUAGUUUUUCUAUGGCUGCUUUUGCCGACGCGCUGAAGCCAGAAAAGUUUAAUGGUAUGCACUUUAAGAGAUGGCAAGUCAAGGCCACGCUCUGGCUUACUGCUAUGAAUGUCUUCCAUGUUAGUAAAGGCAGACCUGAGGGUCCACUGACUCCUGAACAGGAGAAAGAGUACGACCAUGCCAAUACUAUGUUCACGGGAGCCGUUCUUAGCGCCCUUGUUGACCGUCUGGUUGAUGCGAAUAUGCAGUACACAGACGGGAAACAGUUGUGGGAUGCACUUACUACUAAGUAUGGUGCAUCAGAUGCUGGCAGUGACCUGUAUAUCAUGGAGAGCUUUCAUGAUUAUAAGAUGGUUGAUAAUCGCUCUAUUGUAGAGCAAGCUCAUGAAAUACAGUGUAUAGCCAAGGAGCUCGACCACCUUAAGAUAGUCCUUCCUGACCGAUUUGUGGCCGGAUGCAUUAUUGCAAAGUUGCCUUCUACAUGGAGGAACUUCGCCACAGCUCUGAAACAUAAGAGACAGGAGAUAUCAGUUGAAAAUCUGAUAGCGUCUCUGGAUGUUGAGGAGAAAGCUCGGGCUAAGGACACGGGAUCUAAAGGAGGCGAGGGCCACUCCAGCGCCAACAUGGUUCAGAAGAACCACAACAAGGGCAAAGGAAAGCCAAAAUCUAACAAGCCCAACAAAACUACCAACUUCAAGAAGAAGAAGAACAAGGCUGAAUUGACAUGUUUCGCAUGUGGCGAGGCGGGUCAUUUUGCCAAGGAUUGUCCCGAUCGAGCGGAUCGCCGUGGCAAAAAGGGCAAUGUCAACACAGUGGUCGCUAGCAAUGAGGAAGACAAAGGGUAUGGUAAUUUACCUUUCAUCUUCUCAGUAUUUCAAUCACCUAGCUGGUGGCUUGAUACUGGUGCUAAUGUUCAUGUGUGUUCUGACAUCAACUUGUUCUCUUCUUAUCAGGGCGCCCGGGAUUCUUCCGUGCUAAUGGGGAAUGGGUCACAUGCUUCUGUUCAUGGCACUGGCACGGUGGAUCUGAAGUUUACUUCGGGAAAGAUCGUGCAGCUGAAGAACGUGCAUCAUGUCCCUUCUAUACACAAGAAUCUCGUUAGCGGAACCCUUCUAUGUAGAGAUGGGUUCAAGGUAGUUUUAGAGUCCAAUAAAUUAGUUGUGUCCAAGUCUGGACAAUUUAUUGGUAAAGGCUAUGAUUGCGGAGGCUUGUUCCGCUUUUCUUUGUUAGAUUUCAAUAAUAAGUCUGUGAACCAUAUUUGUGCUAAUGUUGAUGAUCUUGCGAGUAUUUGGCAUUCUCGUUUGUGUCAUAUUAAUUUUGGCUCUAUGUCUCGGCUUGCAACCAUGAGUUUAAUUCCGAAUAUCACCAUAGUCAAAGGUUCUAAGUGCCAUAGUUGUGUGCAGUCGAAGCAACCUCGAAAGCCUCAUAAGGCUGCUGAGGAGAGACACCUGGCACCACUAGAACUCAUACAUUCUGAUCUUUGUGAGAUGAAUGGUGUGUUGACAAAAGGUGGUAAGAGAUACUUCAUGACAUUGAUUGAUGAUGCGUCUAGAUUUUGCUAUGUAUACUUGCUAAAAACUAAAGAUGAGGCUUUAGACUACUUUAAAAUCUAUAAGGCUGAGGUUGAAAACCAACUAGAGAGAAAGAUCAAACGUCUUAGAUCAGAUCGUGGUGGUGAGUUCUUUCCCAAAGUCUUUGACGAUUUCUGUGCAGAACAUGGCAUUAUUCAUGAGAGGACUCCUCCCUAUUCACCCGAGUCAAACGGGAUUGCUGAAAGGAAAAACCGUACGUUGACUGACCUGGUGAAUGCCAUGUUAGACACUUGUGGUUUAUCUAAGGCAUGGUGGGGGGAGGCAGUCCUGACUUCAUGUCAUGUUCUGAAUAGAAUUCCUAUGGGCAAAGAAGAGAAAACCCCUUAUGAGAAGUGGGUUGGGAGAAAACCAUCACUUUCAUACUUGCGCACUUGGGGGUGCAUGGCGAAAGUCAAUGUACUAAUUAAUAAAAAGCGCAAGCUUGGUCCAAGGACAGUGGAUUGUGUCUUUCUUGGAUAUGCUUCGUGUAGCAUAGCAUAUAGAUUUUUAGUAGUUAAAUCUGAAGUUCCUGAUGUGUAUGUUGAUACUAUUAUGGAAUCACGUGAUGCUACUUUCUUUGAGCAUAUAUUUCCAAUGAAAGACAUUCAUAGCAAUUCUAGAUACUCUUCUGAGAUAAUUCCUGAACAUAAUACACCUAUUGAGAGUUUUGAACAGCCACAUGAAAUUGUCCUAGAGGAGGAUGACAAUGAUGCUCCUAAAAGGAGCAAGAGACAAAGGGUUGAAAAAUCCUUUGGUAAUGAUUUCAUUGUGUACCUUGUGGACGAUACUCCUACUACCAUUGCAGAAGCAUUUGCAUCUCCAGAUGCAGAUGAUUGGAAAGAAGCAGUUCAUAAUGAGAUGGACUCUAUUCUUUCAAAUGGUACGUGGGAAGUCACUGAUCGACCCUAUGGAUGCAAACCCGUGGGUUGUAAGUGGGUGUUUAAAAAGAAGCUCAAGCCUGAUGGUACAAUUGAAAAGUACAAGGCUAGGCUUGUGGCUAAAGGCUAUACUCAGAAAGAAGGAGAAGACUUCUUUGAUACUUACUCACCUGUUGCUAGAAUGACCACUAUUCGAGUACUACUUUCUUUGGCUGCCUCGUAUGGUCUCCUUGUUCAUCAGAUGGAUGUAAAGACAGCUUUUCUUAAUGGAGAGCUGGACGAGGAAAUCUAUAUGGAACAGCCUGAUGGAUUUGUAGUAAAGGGUCAAGAAAGCAAGGUGUGCAAGUUAUUGAAAUCUUUGUAUGGUCUGAAGCAAGCACCAAAACAGUGGCAUGAGAAGUUUGACACUACUCUAACGUCUGCAGGCUUUGCCAUUAAUGAGGCAGACAGGUGUGUAUAUUAUCGCUGUGGUGGGGGCGAAGGAGUUAUAUUGUGCUUAUAUGUUGAUGAUAUAUUGAUAUUUGGCACAAACAUUGAUGUGAUCAAUGAAGUCAAGUCUUUUCUAUCAAAGAGUUUUGAUAUGAAAGAUCUGGGAGAAGCUGAUGUGAUUCUAAACAUCAAGCUGAUUAAGGCAGAUGGUGGGAUUACUCUCUCGCAAUCUCACUAUGUUGAAAAGGUUUUGAAGCGAUUUGGCUUCUCUGAGUGCAAACCUUCUCCAACUCCUUAUGAUCCCAGUGUGACACUGCGAAAGAACAAGAGAAUUGGUUUAGACCAAUUGAGAUACUCUCAGAUUGUCGGUUCACUCAUGUAUCUUGCUGGUGCAACAAGGCCCGAUAUCUCGUUUGCUGUGAGCAAAUUGAGUAGGUUCAUGUCAAACCCCGGGACUGAUCAUUGGCAUGCACUUGAGCGGGUUAUGCGCUACCUGCAAGGUACAAUGAGUUAUGGAAUUCACUAUUCUGGUCAGCAUGCAGUACUUGAAGGAUAUAGUGAUUCGAACUGGAUAUCUGAUGCAGACGAGCUUUAUGCCACCAGUGGUUAUGUCUUUACUAUUGGUGGAGGUGCGGUAUCAUGGAGGUCAUGCAAGCAGACCAUUUUGACGAGGUCAACCAUGGAAGCCGAGCUAGCUGCACUUGACACAGCAACCGUUGAGGCAGAAUGGUUGCGUGAACUCUUGAUGGACUUGCCGGUGGUUGAGAAACCAAUACCAGCUAUCCUUAUGAACUGUGACAAUCAGACAGUGAUUGCUAAAGUGACGAGUUCUAAGGAUAAUGGAAAGUCAUCAAGACAUGUCAAAAGACGAUUGAAGUCUGUCAGAAAGUUGAGAAACUCCGGAGUUAUAAGUGUGACUUAUAUUUCAACAGAUAAAAAUCUGGCAGAUCCUUUUACCAAGGGACUACCACGUAAUGUGAUAGAAAUCGCAUCGAGAGAGAUGGGUAUGAGACCCGAAUAAAGUUGCCAUGGUGGAAACCCAGUCUAUGUGAUCGGAGAUCCCGUGAAUUAGGUCCUGGGAAGAACAAGCCAUUGGUGAACUGAGGAGAGUAACUUUUGACCCUCUCUAAGUAAAGAUGCAAUACUCUCAAAUGCUGUAAGGCAGGUUGGCUUUGUGCCUUAAUGUGUUCUGUUGGCUUGUAUUAGCGAAGAUGUUGUCCUGCAGAACAUUCUUUGAAAGAACACACCCAUAUGAGUUAGACUGUCUAACGUCGCAGUCUAUGAGAUUUGGGUGAUCUCUAGUAAACUCAUGAAGAGACCUUGGAGUACGACGUAUAUGCUCCACCCGAGAAGGGGACUACUGGUAGCCAAGUACUGGUCAUGACUUCAAGUGAAACCCAUUCACGCAAAACUUGCAAUUCAAGGCAUAGUCCAUUGUCCAAGUUGUGGGUUGGUGUAACUUGGAGUUCUAGGCGGAAGUUCAACUUAACAGUCUCUGCUGAAAAACUAGUAUAUUAAACAGUAGUGAACAGUGGCGAAAACUGCAGAUGGGCAUUUGAGAUCUGGUGGGGGAUUGUUAGGAUUUAUGGGCUUGGCCCAAUUAAGUUAUUCAAAUAAAUCCCAGGAAAAUCUCAAAAGCCCAUAUAAGUGGAUGGCAAAGGGAUAGGUGGAACCAAUAGCACCAUAUUGCUAGCUCUUGUGGAGUAGAGCUAACUUAAAUAUGGAAGCCACACUCACUCACCAAGUCAUGGAUGAGAGGAGAGAGUGUGGAGAGCCACACGCGCGCGCGCGCUCGCUCGCCUCGCCUCGCCUGGCCUGGCCUGGCCUGGCCGGGCCGGGCCGGGGCGGGGCGGGGCGAAGGGCGCGGGCGCACGACAUGCGCGUGAAUGGUCCGCCGAAAUCCGGCCCCUCGCCUUGCGGGGGCGCGGCUACCUUUUGCCGUUUGAUUUUUUGGUACGGGGGUCGCGGACUCGGCCCUAUAAAAGGAGCCCGGCAGCCAGCCUCCAAUUCAUCCCAGAUCCCAAUUCGCUUUCGCCUCUCUUCAUAGCUGAGCCGCCUUUUAGUUCCCUUCGUCCCGACCGCAGAGGUGCAUCUGCGAUCAGGAGAGCAGGUCUCCGGAACCCUUCGUCUUCUAGAUCCUGCACCGGGAGAGGGCGAAUAAGGUUUUUGGGAAGCGUCUUCACGCGACUGCUCGUGAUCUGCUGACCUCGUCGACCCAGCUGAUCCUGGCGCGCGCCAACAAUCA